rnacentral:rRNA from 1 species
ACUCAAAUGAAUUGACGGGGACCCACACAAGCAGUGGAUCAUGUGGUUUAAUUCGACAAUAAACGAGGAACCUUACCCAGGCUUGACAUCCUAGGAAUCCAGCGGAAACGUUGGAGUGCCCGCAAGGGAACCUAGAGACAGGUGCUGCAUGGUUGUCGUCAGCUCGUGCCUUGAGGUGUUCGGUUAAGUCCGUUAACGAGCGCAACCCAUGUCGUUAGUUACUAUGUCUAACGAGACUGCCCGAGUUAAUCGGGAGGAAGGUGUGGAUGACGUCAAAUCAGCAUGGCCCUUAUGCCUGGGGCUACACACAUGAUACAAUGGUCGGUACAAUGAGCAGCGAUGGAGUAAUCCGGAGCAAAUCUCAUCAAAGCCGAUCUCAGUCCAGAUUGAGGUCUGCAACUCGACCUCAUGAAGUUGGAAUUGCUAGUAAUCGUGAAUCAGCUAUGUCACGGUGAAUAUGUUCCUGGGUCUUGUACACACCGCCCGU